rnacentral:rRNA from 1 species
GAUGAACGCUAGCUACAGGCUUAACACAUGCAAGUCGAGGGGCAGCGGUAUCGAAAGCUUGCUUUCGGUAGCCGGCGACCGGCGCACGGGUGAGUAACGCGUAUCGAACCUGCCUCAUACUCGGGAAUAGCCUUGCGAAAGUAAGAUUAAUGCCCGGUGUUUUCAGAGUCCCGCAUGAGGCUUUGAACAAAGAUUUAUCGGUAUGAGAUGGCGAUGCGUCCCAUUAGCUUGUUGGCGGGGUAACGGCCCACCAAGGCAUCGAUGGGUAGGGGUUCUGAGAGGAAGGUCCCCCACAUUGGAACUGAGACACGGUCCAAACUCCUACGGGAGGCAGCAGUGAGGAAUAUUGGUCAAUGGGCGGAAGCCUGAACCAGCCAAGUAGCGUGCAGGAAGACGGCCCUCCGGGUUGUAAACUGCUUUUAGUUGGGAAUAAAACGGGGCCCGUGAGCCCCCUUGCAUGUACCAUCAGAAAAAGGACCGGCUAAUUCCGUG